CUGAGGCACUCCUGAGAAGUCAUUUUGUGGUGACGGUGGUAAAAUGGGAUGGAAAUAUGUCACCUCAUACUUACAAACCACUUUAUUUGUGGAGUCUUUAUGUAUCUAAAGUACCUAACAAUGUGCUUGAUACUUAGUGGGUUCUUAUUAGGUACUGGCUCUUCUCUUGAACUUGGAUUUAGUUCAACCUCCCAGAAGAAAAACAGAUGUGAUGGCACACGCACUACACACACACACAGGAACUCAGUUUUUUUAAACAGGUUACAUCUACAGAGAAAUUCCUUGGGAGUAGAAGGUCUUUUACCCUAAGGCCAACUUCAACAAGACAGCAUUUGCACCAAAGCUGGAUGGACAGAUAGAUGAUAGGUAGAUAUUAGAUAGAUAUAGAUAGAUAGAUAGAUAGAUAGAUAGAUAGAUAGAUAGAUAGAUAGAUAGAUAGAUAGAUACAGAUGGUAGAAUGGAUGGAAGUCCUGAUAUUUAAUGUCAAAAGUUGAAUUGGAUGCUGAGACCUUUUACUGUAAGAGUCUCAAAUUUAUCAAGCAUAUCUCUCAUUGGUAAGAAGUUUAAAAAUGUGAUCAAAAAACAUCAAACACAUCAGAGCCUUCAUGUGGACACAUUGUUAGUUUCCUAAGAGCCACAACCUUCAGGCAAGAAUUCAAAGAAGAAUCAGGCAAGAGUCUCAUUAUCGUAUCAGAUGUCCAGCCCAAACCUAGAUUCGCCUUGUACUCUGCUCCCAGGCUUCCCUGGGAGACGGACACAGACAGGGAAGGCAACAGAGUGAUGACAAAGCUGAGGGCCUGGUUUACGGAUGCAAGGACUUCAGAGAAAGAGGCAACGGAGCAUGCCCUCAGGGCAAGAGCAAGGCCUUCCUUCAAGUCUUCAAGAAAGCUCACUUCUCAGUCUCUGAGCAGGAGGGUGGACCAGGCAGAAGUCGGCCAUUGCCAGGUAGAAAUCAGUAAUUCUGGAUUUACUCACGCCUCUGGAAAGAAUGCAUCUAGAAACCUCCUGGAAAUGAUAACUGAGAGUUGACAAGCUCAUCUUUGGGGACGAUGCAAAAAAACUCAUUUGUCUUGGCAGGUCACCUUGACAUGGAAGCUGAAUGCCCAGCUGGCGAAAUGCUUGUUGGAGGAUGAGUCAAUGCUCUGUGAACUUGAGCCUGGCCUGGGGGUAACAUUCUUGGAACGCCCAGUUGAGACGAGCCUAGGAAGCCACAGCACUCUGCCAACAUGGACACAAUCCCCAGGCAUCCCGACCCAUUGUGGUCACUGCAUGGCCCACAGCCUCACUCAGUGUGGACCUUCUGUUUACCUAGCUGUGUCCAUCUGCAUUCCUCAGAGCUGUUGGCAGAAAGCACGGAGCAGUAGGGAGAAGUUUCUGGGAAAGAGGGUAAGGUGAGACCGAGGAGUAAAGAGACAGAGAGAGCAGUUCCUACAUGUUUGAUCCUGAUGCCCAUGAAGAGACUGAAACACCCCCAAAAAUCACCUGGGUGAUAUUUCUUACCAUUUCAGUCACAACUAACUGUACUAGACCUUUAUAUGCAUUCUGCCAUUCCUCACAUAUGCAGCCUUCUCGAGAAGCCAAUAAAUAAUUCCCUUAUUCAAAACUCUUCGCCGGUUCCCAUUUCCCAGAGCCGUGUUCCUCAGAGGGAAGUGUACCUACCAAGGGCAGUAUGUGAGAUGAAUUGAAGUAUAAAUAAUUUUUACAUUAACAGUUAUAUGUUUUUAAUCUGAAAACAAACAGUAAAGUAAAAUAGAGAGUCACUGUAAGUCAAUGUGAAAAUUAUCAAGUAAAUAAUAUAAGUAGGUACAUAGACAUGGCAAAAAUGGUGAAAAGAAAAUAUAAGUGGUUGAAAUUUGGGGAACAAUGGCUUAAAGACAGACAGUUCAAACUCUCUGAGGGCACGUCAAGUACUGGUCCUCCACCACUUGGUCUCCACUGAUGUCUCAAGUUCCCUGGACUCCAGUGGCACCUCACAGGGUACUUGCCAGACACAGUGGACUGCGUAGCUUCUGCACACACACUGCCUGCUUCCCAGCUUCUUGGUUGUGCCACCCAAUGGACCAUCCUUUCCCCAUCUUUGCUCAGUAGAAUCUGACCCGUUUUCUCCAUUCAGUCUUCCACAAUUGUUUCACCAGAAUUUACAUCUCCCAGAACAAUUUGUUU